GACGAACGCUGGCGGCGUGCUUAACACAUGCAAGUCGAACGGAAAGGCCCUGCUUUUGUGGGGUGCUCGAGUGGCGAACGGGUGAGUAACACGUUAGUAACCUGCCCUUGACUUUGGGAUAACUUCAGGAAACUGGGGCUAAUACCGGAUAGGAGCUCCUGCUGCAUGGUGGGGGUGGGAAAGUUUCGGCGGUUGGGGAUGGACUCGCGGCUUAUCAGCUUGUUGGUGGGGUAGUGGCUUACCAAGGCUUUGACGGGUAGCCGGCCUGAGAGGGUGACCGGACACAUUGGGACUGAGAUACGGCCCAGACUCCUACGGGAGGCAGCAGUGGGGAAUAUUGCACAAUGGGCGGAAGCCUGAUGCAGCAACGCCGCGUGCGGGAUGACGGCCUUCGGGUUGUAAACCGCUUUCGCCUGUGACGAAGCGUGAGUGACGGUAAUGGGUAAAGAAGCACCGGCUAACUACGUG
rnacentral:rRNA from 1 species